GAUGAACGCUGGCGGUAUGCUUAACACAUGCAAGUCGAACGGACUCUUCGGAGUUAGUGGCGGACGGGUGAGUAACGCGUGGGAAUCUGGCUUUGGGUUCGGGACAACCACUGGAAACGGUGGCUAAUACCGGAUGUGCCGAGAGGUAAAAGAGAAAUUGCCUGAAGAUGAGCUCGCGUCUGAUUAGCUAGUUGGUGAGGUAAAGGCUCACCAAGGCAGCGAUCAGUAGCUGGUCUGAGAGGAUGACCAGCCACACUGGGACUGAGACACGGCCCAGACUCCUACGGGAGGCAGCAGUGGGGAAUUUUCCGAAAUGGGCGAAAGGCUGACGGAGCAAUACCGCGUGAGGGAAGAAGGCUCUUGGGUUGUAAGACUCUGUGCUUAGGGAAGAACAAAAUGACGGUACCUAAGGAAUCAGCAUCGGCUAACUCCGUG
rnacentral:rRNA from 1 species